GGCAGACAUCAAAAGAUCCAGGUGGUAGAUGGGGCAAGACAAAUUCUGUGCAGAGUUGAACAACCUCUAGAAUGCUGGUGUGAUGUUAGGAUCGUUUAGCUGGCUGAAAAAAUACCUCCUUCUCUGGACAGAGUCUACAGUCCACUUAUUAGGAAGUCAUUCCUCUAACUUGAGGCUUCUUUCAGAUGUUCAAAUUAAAACUCCUGUGGACAGGCUGAUGCAUGCAACACAGUCAGUUGCUUGUUUCUUCACUGGGAAGAAGUCUGGUCUUUCCUCAGCCAAGUUGGAGAGGUGGUGGUGGUCCAGAGCAUGAACACAGAGGAGAGAAUCUUUUACCUGACUUCCACCCAAGAGAGCCCGUUUCUCCAGGGAGGUCAAGUCAAGUGGGCUACCAGGCCACAGGACCCUGGUGUGCAACCAGUUUACAUAAGCCAAGCAUCUUCUACAGAAAAAGGUGGCCCCUUCUUCUUCAGACCUUCUUCCCCUACCUACUCUCAAAGUGUCUACAGCUCUCAAGACUCCUCUGCUGAAAUCCAGCAGUUGGGGUGUCUCGGGAUCACAGGAUGUGGUGGAGGUGACCCCAGGAAGUUAUUGCAUAUGAGCCAAGGGCGCUUUCCUCCCCUCCCUCCCCUCCCAGGAUGGUGGUGAGGCCUACAUGCAAUGUGCUGCUGUCAUUCAUCCUCACCCCAGAAGAAAAAGAGGAAAUGAAGAGAGUAAAGAGAAGGAAUGAGCACUUGGGUUCACAGUUCUUCUUCAGCGGUUGAAAUGAAGAGCCUAGGAAGCACCAAGCACAGAAUCACCUGCUCCUGUGGGCACUACCUCAUUGAAACCCUAUGAACUGCCAUUUCCUAGGUGAGGAAAUAGUCUGAGGAUGUGAUGUAACGUGCCAGACCGGGAGGGAAGUAAGGGGCAGAGCUGGGGCUCCCAACUCCUCCUUUAGAAUCUCUCUCCCCUUGAAUAACAUCAACCCAGUCCCAGAAAGGUCAGUAGAUGCCUCUAUGGGCCUGUCUACUGUUGCUGUUUUUAUUAAUACGUCAAGUAGAUAUUAAGGAGAAGUGUCUUCACAAUGUGCUGAGCUCUCUGCUAAGCAUAUGAUGUGCAAUGUCACAUUCAAACUCACAACCACCGAGCGAAACAAUCUCAACUCCACAUUGCCCCCUUCAUUUACAAUGUGAAGAACUUGACUCUCAGAGAAGUUAGUAAGUGUCUCAAGAUCACACAGCCAGUAAAAAGGAAGAGUUCUCUGAUUCUAACCUAGGUCAGUCUAAUUUCAAGUUAGAUCAACUGGAGUAAAGUUAAAAGGAACACUCCCAAAGGUUUGGUGUCUUUUUUUUUUUUUUUUUUUUGCUAGAUUCAUCAUAAUGAAGCAUGAGAAAGAGGAAAGCACUUUUAGAAAGUGACCUGAAACUGCAGAAGACCCAGAGUUUAGAGGAAUAUCAAGGCAAGAGGCUAGAAAGGCCAAUUUAGG
ensembl:lncRNA